GACGAACCGUCCAAACGUUAUUCGGAUUCACUGGGCUUAAAGGGUGCGUAGGCGGCUCAGAAAGUAGGGUGUGAAAGCCCUCGGCUCAACCGAGGAAUUGCGCCCUAAACUACUGGGCUCGAGGAACGCAGAGGUAAGCGGAACUUAGGGUGGAGCGGUGAAAUGCGUUGAUAUCCUAAGGAACACCAGGAGCGAAAGCGGCUUACUGGGCGUUUUCUGACGCUGAUGCACGAAAGCUAGGGGAGCGAACGGG
rnacentral:rRNA from 1 species